rnacentral:rRNA from 1 species
GACGAACCGUACAAACGUUAUUCGGAAUCACUGGGCUUAAAGGGUGCGUAGGCGGUGCGGUAAGUUGGAUGUGAAAUCCCUCGGCUUAACCGAGGAACUGCGUUCAAUACUGCCGUGCUGGAGGGAGACAGAGGUGAGCGGAACUUCGGGUGGAGCGGUGAAAUGCGUUGAUAUCCGAAGGAACACCAGUGGCGUAAGCGGCUCACUGGGUCUCUUCUGACGCUGAGGCACGAAAGCCAGGGGAGCGAACGGG